rnacentral:rRNA from 1 species
GAGUUAUACAACUCAUCAACCCUGUGAACAUACCUAAAACGUUGCCUCGGCGGGAACAGACGGCCCCGUAACACGGGCCGCCCCCGCCAGAGGACCCCCUAACUCUGUUUCUAUAAUGUUUCUUCUGAGUAAACAAGCAAAUAAAUUAAAACUUUCAACAACGGAUCUCUUGGCUCCGGCAUCGAUGAAGAACGCAGCGAAAUGCGAUAAGUAAUGUGAAUUGCAGAAUUCAGUGAAUCAUCGAAUCUUUGAACGCACAUUGCGCCCGCCAGUAUUCUGGCGGGCAUGCCUGUUCGAGCGUCAUUACAACCCUCAGGCCCCCGGGCCUGGCGUUGGGGAUCGGCGGAAGCCCCCUGCGGGCACAACGCCGUCCCCCAAAUACAGUGGCGGUCCCGCCGCAGCUUCCAUUGCGUAGUAGCUAACACCUCGCAACUGGAGAG